GGAGAGGUGGCAGAGUGGUCGAAUGCGGCGGUCUUGAAAACCGUUGAAGUGAGAGCUUCCCAGGGUUCGAAUCCCUGUCUCUCCGCCA
rnacentral:tRNA from 2 species